AAAUGAUAAGGGAUAUUAGGGGUGAAAGUUAGGGUAUUACACCCCUACACAUCCAUCAUCUAGAGGAUACUUCAUAGUCAGAUAAAGAGUGGACAAUGCAGCUUCCAGAGCGUUGAACUUCGGCCUUCCGAUGAUGAUUUAUAUGGUGAGGAUGAAUUUACUAUCAGAUAUCUCACUUUAAAUUCUUUGGCAUUGUCUCCACUUCCAAAAACAUUCAUGAUAU
rnacentral:lncRNA from 1 species